UACAGAGGUCUCAAGCGUUGUUCGGAUUCAUUGGGCGUAAAGGGUGCGUAGGCGGCGCGGUAAGUCGGGUGUGAAAUCUCGGAGCUUAACUCCGAAACUGCAUUCGAUACUGCCGUGCUUGAGGACUGGAGAGGAGACUGGAAUUUACGGUGUAGCGGUGAAAUGCGUAGAUAUCGUAAGGAAGACCAGUGGCGAAGGCGGGUCUCUGGACAGUUCCUGACGCUGGAGGCACGAAGGUCAGGGGGAGCAAAACGGG
rnacentral:rRNA from 1 species